rnacentral:rRNA from 1 species
CCUACGCGGGGCAGCAGUGAGGAAUAUUGGUCAAUGGACGAGAGUCUGACCCAGCCAAGUAGCGUGAAGGAUGACUGCCCUAUGGGUUGUAAACUUCUUUUAUAUGGGAAUAAAAUGAUCCACGUGUGCGUUUUUGUAUGUACUAUAUGAAUAAGGAUCGGCUCACUCCGUGCCAGCAGCCGCGGUAAUACGGAGGAUCCGAGCGUUAUCCGGAUUUAUUGGGUUUAAAGGGAGCGUAGGUGGGUUGUUAAGUCAGUUGUGAAAGUUUGCGGCUCAACCGUAAAAUUGCAGUUGAAACUGGCAGUCUUGAGUACAGUAGAGGUGGGCGGAAUGCGUGGUGUAGCGGUGAAAUGCUUAGAUAUCACGAAGAACCCCGAUUGCGAAGGCAGCUCACUAAACUGCGACUGACAUUGAGGCUCGAAAGUGUGGGUAUCAAACAGGAUUAGAUACCCGUGUAGUC